rnacentral:rRNA from 1 species
AUGCACCUCUGCUCAUUGCUCAUAGUUUCUACACUUGAUAGGAAGCUUACCUUGUGGAUUAUUAUCACCCUCCUGCAUUUUCUACAUUGGCAUAAAGUUUUUGUUUUCCCCACUGGCCAGUCAUAUGCUCCCUCCGCCCGGAAUUACUUGUCGCAGAAUCCAUUUCUGCGACAAGUAAUUUGGGAUGGAAGGAGUAUUAUAUUAGUAGUGUUAACUUCAACUGCACUGUUCUGCCCUGUGGCCUUUUUACAUCAUUCUGCUUUUGAAGACACAUUAAACUUUGAUUUUACCCUUUUAUACGUACAUCUUCGAUGUUCGACAUGCUGA